UCUCUCUCGCUCUUCUCUCUCCGCGUUCUUAUCAGUAGCGAGCUCGGCACGUCAUUGUGCACUGCUCCACCGAGCUGAGCCUGAGCGCGAGCCUCCGUCCGAAGUCCAAAUAAUCUUCAGCUCUCCUCGACGCAUGCCCGGAUCGAUCGGUCCAGUUCUACCCGCCGGAGGAGGAGGAGGAGGAGGCAGAUCGACCGGCAGCUGACUAAGGUGGAUCCACGGAGGAGGCAUGGCAAGAGGCCCCUACCCGCCGCCGAGGUGGAAGAGGAGGAGGAGGAGGAGGCGCUGCCCCCGGGCCCGCCGCCCGCAAAGCACGAGCAGCUGGAGGAGCCUCACCACGCCGCCGUCUCGCAGCUGCAAGGAGCCACCUUUAGCGGCGGCGGAGGGUCGUCGUCGUCUUCCGUGAUCGGUGGCCCGUCGCCGCCGCAGGCGUACGCGCAGUACUACUACUCGGCGCGCGCCGACAACGACGCCUCCGCCGUGGCCUCCGCGCUUGCCCACGUCAUCCGGGCCUCGCCUGACCAGCUUCCGCCGCAGCAGGCGCCGGCCUUGUACGGCGCCGGCGUCCCGGGCAGCCUUCGGCUGGGAGACCACCCGCAAGCGUCUGCGCACCACUAUCCCGGUCCCGGCGGCCACGUCGCCGCCGCCGAGGAGGAGCAAGCAGGUCGGAGGCGGCACUACCGGGGGGUGAGGCAGCGGCCGUGGGGCAAGUGGGCGGCAGAGAUCCGGGACCCCAAGAAGGCGGCGCGGGUGUGGCUCGGCACCUUCGACACGGCGGAGGACGCCGCCAUCGCCUACGACGAGGCGGCGCUGCGGUUCAAGGGCACCAAGGCCAAGCUCAACUUCCCGGAGCGCGUGCAGGGCCGAACCGACCUCGGCUUCCUCGUCACCCGCGGCAUCCCGGACCACCGGCACCCGUCGGCGGCGGUGACCCUGGCAGCAAUGCCGCCGCCGCACCACCAGCACGGCCACCAGACCGUCGUGCCGUACCCCGACCUCAUGCAGUACGCGCAGCUGCUGCAGGGCGGCCGGGGCGGCGGCGGCCACGCCGAGGCGGCGGUCCAGCAGGCGCACCGUCAGCAGCAGCAGCAGCAGCUCAUGACGAUGAUGGGCGGUCGGCCGGGAGUCAACCUGCCCUCCACGUUCUCGCCGUCGUCGUCCGCAUCGGCGCCGCAGAUACUGGACUUCUCCACGCAGCAGCUCAUCCGGCCCGGCCCGCCGUCGCCGUCGCCGCCGCGGGCCGCGGCAAUGCCGUCCUCGUCGGCCGCUGCGGCGCCGUCCACGCCGUCGUCCACGACCACAGCGUCGUCGCCCAGCGGCGGUGCAUGGCCGUACGGCGGGGAGCGCCACAGGAAUAAAAAAGACGCGUGAUCGAGAGCUGGCGCCUGGCCGGACGGGGAUCAGAUCAAGUAGCUGUGUGGAGGAAUAUGCAUGCAAUAUGGGCGCGGGCGGGGUAAGUGGCAGCGACGGUUUUUGGUGCAGACAUGGGCAUUUCUCGGCCUUUUUAAUUUCCACGCACGUCGGUUUCUUUUUACUACUUCUUUUUUUUUUGUCACGAGAUGAUCGUUCUUUUGUUCAUUUCUUGGAGGAUCUUCUUUUCAUCACUUGAUUAGAGAGAGAUAGCUAGCUAGAUGCUAGGAGAUUGCUACCUUCUUCCUUGUCUGAUGGUCUGAUCUGCUGCUCAUCAUAGCUUUAAUUUGUUCAAGUGUCAACUGAUUAA